GUAUUUGGGUCAUGGGGUUCAAUGGGUCACAUGGAAUAUUUUCCCGCCUAAUAGGAAUUUUUCGGUUUUGCCGGCGUAGGAAGUUGGCAACACUUGUAUUCUACCAAAAAAAUGUGCAAUGACGUCAUCGGCAUUCUUUGUUUUUAUUUUGGAGCCACAUUAGCUGCGGAGCUGUCGAAAUCGGCAGAAAACGGCGAUUUUUCUUCCGAGAAGUUUGUGCACCUUGAGAUCAUGACCUGAAAGUUCACCAGGAAGAGGGAACAACCUAGGAUUCCUCCGAGGAUUCCAAGAUUCCUUCGACUGCAGUGAUAACAGGAAACUCUUUCAUGACCAUGUAACGCCGUGCUGGUCUCUUUUGAUUUUAAUUUCUUUUUUAUUUUUGUACUUUUUUAGUGGUUGAUAAUGGUGUUGUGAGACACCGAAACGUCCUGUGUUUAGGUAUUUAUGUAUUUUAGCCUUUUCUCAACUGUUUCCUUCUUUUAGUUUUUAAGUUUGGACCAAAAGUAAAAAUGUUCCGUACAUAAAUAUGUUUUGCGCCAAAGCAUUAAUUUAUAUACCUAUUUAGUAUGUUACCUAUGAAAAUAAAUUGUUGCCCAUUUAGAUUACCUAAUUCUUCUUUAUAAGGUUACCCAUGUUCCUGUGGUUCUAGAUUAAUUUGUGUUCAUUAAAAUUUAUUUCUUUAA